UACAUGAGACCCUGUCUCAAAAAAUCAAAAACCAAACCAAACCUGAAAACUCAAAGGACAAUGUGGUAGAAAUUCAGUAUUUGGCAUAGUUGGUUUUCUGGGCUUGUACAUGUUAAAUCUGGUAUUUGAAGCAAUAAAGUA
ensembl:snoRNA